rnacentral:rRNA from 1 species
CAAUACUAUUAGUGGCAAACGGGUGAGUAAUACGUAGGAAUCUCCCCUAUAGUACGGAACAACAGUUGGAAACGACUGCUAAUACCGUAUACGCUCUUCGAAGGAAAGAUUUAUCGCUAUAGGAUGAGCCUGCGCUAAAUUAGAUUGUUGGUGGGGUAAUGGCCUACCAAGUCGAUGAUUUAUAGCUGGUCUGAGAGGACGAUCAGCCACACUGGAACUGAGAAACGGUCCAG